rnacentral:rRNA from 1 species
UACGAAGGGGGCUAGCGUUGCUCGGAAUCACUGGGCGUAAAGCGCACGUAGGCGGAUUGCUAAGUCAGGGGUGAAAUCCUGGAGCUCAACUCCAGAACUGCCUUUGAUACUGGCGAUCUCGAGUCCGAGAGAGGUGAGUGGAACUGCGAGUGUAGAGGUGAAAUUCGUAGAUAUUCGCAAGAACACCAGUGGCGAAGGCGGCUCACUGGCUCGGUACUGACGCUGAGGUGCGAAAGCGUGGGGAGCAAACAGG